CUGGAGCCUGAAACACACACACACACACACACACACACACACACACACACACACACACACACACACACACACACACACACACACACACACACACACACACAGGACAUUGAACACAUGAGUACAAGUGAAGUCAUUCAAUACAAAGUAUGACAGAGACCAUCAACUCAUUAGUUUUGUUCACAGUUUGACAAACAGGCUGCAGUAAAGAAUGUUGUCAUCACAUGUAAAAACAUCAUGAAAUGAUGAUCAAAAUGAUGAGUCAUUCAUCAAUCAGGAUCAUUUGUUAUGACAGUAACAAUAUCAUAAAGACACUUUGUGAAAUAUGAAACAACUGUCCUGAAAUAACAAUUAACAAUCUUUUUUCUAACCAACUAUCUAACACUUAGAAAUGAGGAAAUAAUCCAGAGCAUGUUUUUCAUUGAAAAAACUAACUCAUCAAAAACUUUAAACAUUUGAAACACGAGAAGUUUAGAAGUUUGAAUUCUUCAUAUCACAUUGUAAGAAACAUUUUAGAGAUGAUUCAACAAAGGUUUAGAAAGGAUCAAACAUGCCGUUUAUAUUUGGACAUGAAUUGUCACAUUUUGUAAUUUGAUCUGAACUGUUCAACAUUCCUCAAACAUCAACAUACUUCAGAAUUGACAGAAACUAUUUCAUACAAAUGUUGAAACCUUUUUGAAAGCUUUCCGUUUCAUUCCAAGACAUAGUCUGGUGUCAGAAAGAGAACUAAAUAUAAAUGUGUGUUGUUCACACAAAAAUAUAUCUGAACAAUGAGUUAAAUAACAAAUGAUGAUUACUGAUCAGUUUGAAUAAGAAUGAUCAAAUCUCUCUCAUUUCAUGAUGAGUUUCAAAGUACUUACUCGUCACAAUCAGCUUGGUGCCUUGUCCGAAUACCACAGUGAUUCAGUUUGUAUACAUGGCUGUACAAAAACCUCCUGACUCUCACUAAUGAGGGGAGUGGAACUGAAACAUCCUGUUGAGAGCAACUUUCACUGUCAACAUGUCAUUCUUUCAUCAGUCUGCUAACAUUACAACAACACUGAUGGACUUUUAUCAAACUCUUUUCACCCUGAAGAACACUUUGUUUAGUAUCCUUUCUUGUUUUGUUCAAGUUUCUUCAUGAUUGUACCAAAAAGAAACCUUUAUAACACGAUGUAAAUGGCCUCUCUGUUUGGAGUUUGCUCCCGUGCAUGCGUGGGCUCUCUCCAGGUACUCUGGAUUCCUCCCACAGUCCAGACAUGCUCAUUAGGUCAAUUGGUGACUCUACAUUGCCAGUAGUUUCCAUCUGUCUUCAUGGAUAAAGGUAAAGUGCAUUUUCAUAAAAUGGUAUGUUGAGUACAAAAAAGGGUUACUUUUCUUAAACACAACAAAUCAAACAAGAAAAAUGUUUAAAGAGAUUCUUGUAAAGGUGGUUUAUCGACUUACUUUCUACAUGUGUUGGUGUCUCAUAUUCUGUGAAGUGUAAAAUCUUCUCUGCAUGAACACAAGACAUAAUGAAGAGGCUGCUGCUACAGAAAAUACAACACCAUAGUAAAGAACACACAAACACACACAAUGACAAGGUGAGAAUGUGUGUGUGUUUGUGUGUAUGAAAUCAAUUGUUUCCGAAUCAAUGUGAAACACUGUCACUAACCCAGUGAUUGUAUGCCUGUGAAUUAGACAGAACAUACAGAGAGAACAUGUCAGUAUCACAAUUCCUCUCUUUGGACAGACAGUGACUGAAGACUGCAGCACAUGUGAAGGUGGAAGCAAACUGUCUGCUGCUCCAGAGCUCCUCUACUAUAAUACUUCAAAUGAAACCUCGUAUGUGAUCCUGUGGUCCCAGCCUGACUCACACAGACCCUGUGUCAGGAGAACUGGUAGAUGUCUAGGCUCUGUGCAACAUGCAACAAGCUGCAGUCUAUACUGAGCAGUAAGCUGGAUGUGAUGGAGAGUAUAUUUUAUUCAAAUAGAUAUACUGGACAAACUCCAGUCAGGUUGAUGGACUGAAACUCCCCCUGAUCUUAUAAGACAGCAGACAGGACGGGUAAAAAGAAGAGAUGACACCUCUUCUUUUUGAUGACAAGGUUACAGACAGUUUGUCUGUCAGAUAAGAGAAGCACAUUUGAGAAGUUAAGAAAAACACAGCAAGUGUUCCUUUGAAUCUAUCUGCUCAGGGAAUGUAGACAUGUUGUGUUUUUGCAUCAGUUCUGGACCUGUUGAUGAACGUGUGAGACAAGAGCUGACUCAAAGAACAGGAGACACAACAUGAUAAUUCUUUAACCAGAGAAUAUUUAACCAACAUUGAAAAAAUCACACAAGAUGAAUAAUAGUGUAUUGAAAUGUAUGCACUGUAAUAUUAAUAGCGUUGAAUUUCUUUUGUGGCUUCAUUGUGGUCAAAGUUAAGUGCAGUGACAAAAAGCAGAAGUGUUCAGUGAGGAGGUUUUUGUCACGGUGUAAAUCACUGUGAUACGUACUCACUGACAGAGCUGUCAUAUGUCUUACAGUAAUAAACUGCUGAGUCUCUCUCCUCCACAGUGCUGAUGAUCAAACGAUAAUCUGAUUGUGACUGAUGAGUGGAUGUGAACUUUGGAGAGGAGAAACCAGAGCCAUAGCUUGGAGAGCUCCAGCUGUGAUAGUUGCUCAGAAUAAACUGAGGAACUCCUCCUGGAAUCUGUUUGUACCAACAAGCUAUUUGGUCAGUCACAGUCCCCAGGUUACAGUCCAUGGUGGCUGUCUCUCCUCUCCUCAGAGUCACAACAGGAGGCUUCUGUGUCACCAGCGUCACAGCACUCACACCUGGAAACAACAAGAUGACAUGGAGUCAAGAGAAACACACAGACUGAUGAAUCCAACAUGAGCUCAAAGCUGCAGUAAGUCAGCCUCCUUACAUGUUAGAGCAGUGAUGAGAGUGCACAGGGUCCCCAGCAUGUUGUCAGUGUGUGCUGUAAACGUCCCUUACUGUCCAGCUGAGAGGUGAGCA